rnacentral:lncRNA from 1 species
CUCGGCCAGCCCCAGAGAGGGGCCCCCUCAGCGCAGCGGCGGGCUGAAGGGCUGCUGGAGCGCGGCCAGAGCGGACGCCGAGGCCGAGGAGGCGCCGAGAGCGAGUGAGAGCUGCUAGCCAGUUGUCACCUCUCACAGAGAGAAGCUUUAGGGGCCGGAUCCUGAUACAGAGCAGACACCUCCAGAGUUCUUUCCAACGCGUGAUUACCUCAAGCCUGGAAUCCACUCUUGACUAGAGAUUGACUGGAAGAUUGACUGCAAUUGAUUUGUAACCUGGUUGGGCCCAUCCUGGCACGGGUUCCUUCACUAGAUGGAAUAAUAAUUCAAAACAAGUCAUCGGAGCAGGUUGCACCGCCUGACACCUCCUAAGCCGUUUGUUUCUCCUGCAUUCCAAACCUCUCGCUUUAAAAACCCCUGCAUUCCCUCCACAAAUUAAAGAGUGGAAAUGUUUGGAAAGAAUUCCGCCCAGUCUUGCCCUUGCUACCACAGAUAAUAAAGCUUGCUCUCUUUCUAUCACACCUCGCUCUUGUUAUUUUGGCGUCUUUCUCCAAGCAGCAAGCAGCUGGACCCUUUUGCCUGUUACAAGUCUUUAAAUAGGGUAGUUUUCAAAUGUCUUCCUCAGU